rnacentral:tRNA from 1 species
GCCGGCAUGGCGAAAUGGCAGACGCACAGGACUUAAAAUCCUGGGACCUUUAACAGUCGUGCGGGUUCAAGUCCCGCUGCCGGCACCA